UACGGAGGAUCCAAGCGUUAUCCGGAUUCAUUGGGUUUAAAGGGUGCGUAGGCGGAAUAAUAAGUCAGUGGUGAAAUCCUUCAGCUUAACUGGAGAACUGCCAUUGAUACUGUUAAUCUUGAGUACAUUUGAUGUGGGCGGAAUGUGUCAUGUAGCGGUGAAAUGCUUAGAUAUGACACAGAACACCGAUUGCGAAGGCAGCUCACAAAACUGUAACUGACGCUGAGGCACGAAAGCGUGGGUAUCAAACAGG
rnacentral:rRNA from 1 species